rnacentral:rRNA from 1 species
UACGUAGGGAGCAAGCGUUGUCCGGAAUCAUUGGGCGUAAAGCGCGUGUAGGCGGUUCGGUAGGUCCGUUGUGAAAACUCGAGGCUCAACCUCGAGACGCCGAUGGAAACCAUCGAACUAGAGUCCGGAAGAGGAGAGUGGAAUUCCUGGUGUAGCGGUGAAAUGCGCAGAUAUCAGGAAGAACACCCGUGGCUAAGGCGGCUCUCUAGUACGGUACUGACGCUGAGACGCGAAAGCGUGGGGAGCGAACAGG